rnacentral:rRNA from 1 species
GACGAACUUUGGCGGCGUGCUUAACACAUGCAAGUCGAACGGAAAGGCCCUGCUUUUGUGGGGUGCUCGAGUGGCGAACGGGUGAGUAACACGUGAGUAACCUGCCCUUGACUUUGGGAUAACUUCAGGAAACUGGGGCUAAUACCGGAUAGGAGCUCCUGCUGCAUGGUGGGGGUUGGAAAGUUUCGGCGGUUGGGGAUGGACUCGCGGCUUAUCAGCUUGUUGGUGGGGUAGUGGCUUACCAAGGCUUUGACGGGUAGCCGGCCUGAGAGGGUGACCGGCCACAUUGGGACUGAGAUACGGCCCAGACUCCUACGGGAGGCAGCAGUGGGGAAUAUUGCACAAUGGGCGGAAGCCUGAUGCAGCAACGCCGCGUGCGGGAUGACGGCCUUCGGGUUGUAAACCGCUUUCGCCUGUGACGAAGCGUGAGUGACGGUAAUGGGUAAAGAAGCACCGGCUAACUACGUGCCAGCAGCCGCGGUGAUACGUAGGGUGCGAGUGUUGUCCGGAUUUAUUGGGCGUAAAGGGCUCGUAGGUGGUUGAUCGCGUCGGAAGUGUAAUCUUGGGGCUUAACCCUGAGCGUGCUUUCGAUACGGGUUGACUUGAGGAAGGUAGGGGAGAAUGGAAUUCCUGGUGGAGCGGUGGAAUGCGCAGAUAUCAGGAGGAACACCAGUGGCGAAGGCGGUUCUCUGGGCCUUUCCUGACGCUGAGGAGCGAAAGCGUGGGGAGCGAACAGGCUUAGAUACCCUGGUAGUCCACGCUGUAAACGGUGGGUACUAGGUGUGGGGUCCAUUCCACGGGUUCCGUGCCGUAGCUAACGCUUUAAGUACCCCGCCUGGGGAGUACGGCCGCAAGGCUAAAACUCAAAGGAAUUGACGGGGCCCCGCACAAGCGGCGGAGCAUGCGGAUUAAUUCGAUGCAACGCGUAGAACCUUACCUGGGUUUGACAUGGAUCGGGAGUGCUCAGAGAUGGGUGUGCCUCUUUUGGGGUCGGUUCACAGGUGGUGCAUGCCUGUCGUCAGCUCGUGUCGUGAGAUGUUGGGUUAAGUCCCGCAACGAGCGCAACCCUUGUUCACUGUUGCCAGCACGUUAUGGUGGGGACUCAGUGGAGACCGCCGGGGUCAACUCGGAGGAAGGUGGGGAUGACGUCAAGUCCUCAUGCCCCUUAUGUCCAGGGCUUCACGCAUGCUACAAUGGCUGGUACAGAGAGUGGCGAGCCUGUGAGGGUGAGCGAAUCUCGGAAAGCCGGUCUCAGUUCGGAUUGGGGUCUGCAACUCGACCUCAUGAAGUCGGAGUCGCUAGUAAUCGCAGAUCAGCAACGCUGCGGUGAAUACGUUCCCGGGGCC